AGAGUGAACGCUGGCGGUAGGCCUAACACAUGCAAGUCGAACGGCAGCACAGUAGGAGCUUGCUCUUACGGGUGGCGAGUGGCGGACGGGUGAGGAAUACAUCGGAAUCUACCUUUUGGUGGGGGAUAACGUAGGGAAACUUACGCUAAUACCGCAUACGCCCUUCGGGGGAAAGCCGGGGACCAGCAAUGGCCUGGCGCUGAUAGAUGAGCCGAUGUCGGAUUAGCUAGUUGGUGAGGUAAUGGCUCACCAAGGCGACGAUCCGUAGCUGGUCUGAGAGGAUGAUCAGCCACACUGGAACUGAGACACGGUCCAGACUCCUACGGGAGCAGCAGUGGGAAUAUUGGACAAUGGGCGCAAGCCUGAUCCAGCCAUACCGCGUGGGUAGAAGGAAGGCCUUGGGUU
rnacentral:rRNA from 1 species